rnacentral:rRNA from 1 species
GGGGUUCGAUUAAGCCAUGCGAGUCGAGAGGUGAAAGACCUCGGCGUACUGCUCAGUAACACGUGGACAACCUACCCUAAGGUGGGGGAUAACCCCGAGAAACUGGGGAUAAUACCCCAUAGGCUAGAGAAGCUGGAAUGCUCUCAAGUUCAAAGGUCCGCCGCCUUAGGAUGGGUCUGCGGUCGAUUAGGUUGUUGGUGGGGUAACGGCCCAACAAGCCUGUAAUCGAUACGGGUUGUGGGAGCAAGAGCCCGGAGAUGGAAUCUGAGACACGAUUCCAGGCCCUACGGGGCGCAGCAGGCGCGAAAACUUUACAAUGCAGGAAACUGUGAUAAGGGAACCCCGAGUGCCCGUAUACGCGGGCUGUCCAGGUGUUUAAAACGCAUCUGAAGAAAGGGCCGGGCAAGACCGGUGCCAGCCGCCGCGGUAAUACCGGCGGCUCGAGUGGUGGCCACUAUUAUUGGGCUUAAAGCGUCCGUAGCUGGACUGAUAAGUCUCUUGGGAAAUCCGCCGGCUUAACCGGCGGGCGU